CGGUAAUACGUAGGUGGCAAGCGUUGUCCGGAAUUAUUGGGCGUAAAGCGCGCGCAGGUGGUUUCUUAAGUCUGAUGUGAAAGCCCACGGCUCAACCGUGGAGGGUCAUUGGAAACUGGGAGACUUGAGUGCAGAAGAGGAUAGUGGAAUUCCAAGUGUAGCGGUGAAAUGCGUAGAGAUUUGGAGGAACACCAGUGGCGAAGGCGACUAUCUGGUCUGUAACUGACACUGAGGCGCGAAAGCGUGGGGAGCAAACAGGAUUA
rnacentral:rRNA from 1 species